UACGUAGGGUGCAAGCGUUUGUCCGGAAUUAUUGGGCGUAAAGAGCUCGUAGGCGGUUUGUCGCGUCGGCUGUGAAAACCUAGGGCUCAACUCUGGGCUUGCAGCCGAUACGGGCAAACUAGAAUUCGGUAGGGGAGACUGGAAUUCCUGGUGUAGCGGUGAAAUGCGUAGAUAUCAGGAGGAACACCGGUGGUGUAGACGGCUCUCUGGACCGUAACUGACGCUGAGACACGAAAAGCGUGGGUAGCAAACAGG
rnacentral:rRNA from 1 species